UUGUGCCUUCGGGAACUGUGAGACAGGUGCUGCAUGGCUGUCGUCAGCUCGUGUUGUGAAAUGUUGGGUUAAGUCCCGCAACGAGCGCAACCCUUAUCCUUUGUUGCCAGCGGUCCGGCCGGGAACUCAAAGGAGACUGCCAGUGAUAAACUGGAGGAAGGUGGGGAUGACGUCAAGUCAUCAUGGCCCUUACGACCAGGGCUACACACGUGCUACAAUGGCGCAUACAAAGAGAAGCGACCUCGCGAGAGCAAGCGGACCUCAUAAAGUGCGUCGUAGUCCGGAUUGGAGUCUGCAACUCGACUCCAUGAAGUCGGAAUCGCUAGUAAUCGUGGAUCAGAAUGCCACGGUGAAUACGUUCCCGGGCCUUGUACACACCGCCCGUCACACCAUGGGAGUGGGUUGCAAAAGAAGUAGGUAGCUUAACCUUCGGGAGGGCGCUUACCACUUUGUGAUUCAUGACUGGGGUGAAGUCGUAACAAGGUAACCGUAGGGGAACCUGC
rnacentral:rRNA from 2 species